rnacentral:tRNA from 1 species
GCCUGGCUGGCUCAGUAGGUAGAGCAUCAGACUCUUGAUCCCAGGAUCAUGAGUUCAAAGCCCCAUGUUGCGCA